AGCAUAAUCAUUUGCCUUUUAAUUGGAGGCUAGAAUGAAGGGACAUACGAGAUUGAGACUGUCUCUAUUUCAUUUAUAUAAAUUGUUUUUUAGGUGAAGAGACCUGAAUUUUAAUAAAAGACAAAAAGACCCUAUUGAGCUUUAUUUAAAUGGGUUUUGUGUUUGAAAUAGUUACUUAUUUACUUUUAUAAAUUUGGUUGGGGUGACAAGGGAAUAUUUAGAUAAAUCUUCUCUGUAUUUAAGGAAUAUUAUUUCUUUUAAUAGAUCUAUUUAGAUGAUAAGAAGAAUUAGUUACCAUAGGGAUAACAGGCUAAUCUCUUCAGAGAGUUCAAAUUGAUGAGGGGGGUUGGCACCUCGAUGUUGGCUUAAGGUAUCCUAAGGAUGCAGCAGUCCUUGAGGGUUGGUUUGUUCAACCAUUAAAA
rnacentral:rRNA from 1 species